CCUACGGGGGGCUGCAGUGGGGAAUAUUGCGCAAUGGGCGAAAGCCUGACGCAGCGACGCCGCGUGAGGGAUGAAGGUCCUCGGAUCGUAAACCUCUGUCUGCAUGGAAGUACGGUCACUGUGCUAAUCAGCAGUGAAUUGACGGUAUCUGCAAAGGAAGCACCGGCUAACUCCGUGCCAGCCGCUGCGGUAAUACGGAGGGUGCGAGCGUUAAUCGGAAUUACUGGGCGUAAAGCGCUCGUAGGCGGUAUGUCAAGUCAAGGGUGAAAUCCCCGCGCUCAACGUGGGAACUGCCUUUGAAACUGGCAGACUGGAGUGUGUGAGAGGAUAGUGGAAUUCGAGGUGUAGGAGUGAAAUCCGUAGAUAUCUGGAGGAACAUCAGUGGCGAAGGCGACUAUCUGGCACAUAACUGACGCUGAGGAGCGAAAGCGUGGGUAGCAAACAGGAUUAGAUACCCUUGUAGUC
rnacentral:rRNA from 1 species